rnacentral:rRNA from 1 species
UACGGGGGGAGCAAGCGUUGUUCGGAUUUACUGGGCGUAAAGGGCGCGUAGGCGGCCAGCACAAGUCAGUUGUGAAAUCUCCGGGCUUAACUCGGAAAGGUCAACUGAUACUGUGCGGCUAGAGUGCAGAAGGGGCAACUGGAAUUCUCGGUGUAGCGGUGAAAUGCGUAGAUAUCGAGAGGAACACCUGAGGCGAAGGCGGGCUACUGGGCCGAUACUGACGCUGAUGUGCGAAAGCCAGGGGAGCGAACGGG